GCUGGCAUAGCUCAAUUGGUAGAGCACCUGACUUGUAAUCAGGGGGUUGUGGGUUCAAGUCCUAUUGCCAGCA
rfam:Thermoactinomyces sp. DSM 45891 genome assembly, contig: Ga0066384_120